AAAAAAAACAUGAGGGGUAACACUGUUGUUUUUUAUUGGUCGUCAUGAAAAAAAACAUAAGGGGUAACACUGUUUUUUUUUAUUGGUCGUCAUGAAAAAAAGAAAUAAGGGGGUAACACUGUUGUUUUUUAUUGGUCGUCAUGAAAAAAAACAUAAGGGGUAACACUGUUGUUUUUUUUUGUCCUCAUGAAAAAAAAACAUAAGGGGUAACACUGUUGUUUUUUAUUGGUCGUCAUGAAAAAAAACAUAAGGGGUAACACUGUUGUCUUUGUCAAAUAAAAUAUAAGUGGUAACACUGUCGUUUUUUAUUGGUCGUCAUGAAAAAAAAC
ensembl:lncRNA